GGGAGAAGAGAACGACACACAGAAAGUAAAAUGGAAAAUUGCUGAUUUAUAGAAGAAGAAGAAGAAGGGGAGAGUUCUUCAUAUUUUCUUGUUUCGAAAAUGAUAGGAUGGCUAAAACAGCUAGGAAAAGCUUUUGGCGUUUCAUUUCUAUGGCUCAUUUGCUUGAUUUACUUCACUCAGGGGUUCAGAUCCUUUGUAUGGACGGCUGUUUCCUACCACCUAAAAGACAGGCUUAGGUUGUCACCUUCAGCCUCCCAAUUUGUAUCUUCAGUAGCAUUUUUCCCAUGGAGCAUAAAGCCAUUAUAUGGGUAUAGUUCUUUCCCACACUCACGCAGGCAUGCAUUGUAGCUUCAAAUAUACACAUCCAUCCAUGUAGUAGAAGGUUUUCCAUGAUGCAGCGCCCUGCUAAUUUACUCACUAGCCAGCAGUGUUGACAACAUUUGGCACUUCUGGUUUCCACAUUUGUGCUUUUGUAUGAAACUAAAACUAUAAUUGCAAUUUUAUUGUAAUUUAUUCUUGUAUGGAAUUUAUAUGAGUAAUGGAAGUGAAUGAAUUCCAUCUUGCUUGUCAUAGCAAUAUUACGGAAGUUGCAACUUUUCUAGCACCACAGAUUAUUAUUAAAAAUUGUUGUCAUGAUUUUCAAGUUAGCAUGAUGCUAGAACUGUUAAAUGCUAUGUGAAACAAAAUGGAUUCAUUUCAAAAUACAUAUAUACCAAAAAUUCUUACAACAGAAUAAUUUAUGGCAUUAUCAUUUUAGCACAAAUAAAUUCGCAUAUGAAGUUUGUUGAUGCAUAUCGUCAUAUAUGUUUAAUUGCUCAUGAUCAUGAAAUAAUGCAUUAAGAAACCUGUCCUUUUCAUUAUAAGUAAUUUUCUACAUAUAUGUUUAAUUGUUCAUGAUCAUGAAAUGAUGCGUUGAGAAAUCUAUCCUUUUCAUUAUAAGUAAUUUUCUACAUAUAUGUUUAAUUGUUCAUGAUCAUGAAAUGAUGCGUUGAGAAAUCUAUCCUUUUCAUUAUAAGUAAUUUUCCACUUUUAUUUAUUGGAUUCUUAAUUUUCAUGUGGCCUAUAGAAUUUUGUCAGAUUGUAUCCCGAUCAAGGGAAGAAAAAGGAUACCAUACCUAGUAAUUGCAACUGUUCUGUCUCUAGUGCCGUGGCCUAUUCUAGGCUUAAAUGCAUUCUUGAGAAGUUCCAGAUGGCACCUCACAGUCUUCUUGACUGUGCAAAACUUGGGCUCUGCCAUGGCAGAUGUUGUGGUGGAUGCUAUGAUUGCUGAGGCAGUAAGGUUUGAGAGGGCCUCAUUUGCAGGAGAUCUCCAGUCGAUAUCUUGGUUAUCCAUGGCUUUGGGUGGAAUAUGUGGCAGUUUGUUAGGAGGAUAUGCAUUAACCAACAUACAGAUAGAAACAAAUUUCUUUCUGUUUUCAGUGCUGCCAGCCAUACAGUUAUUAUCAUGUGGUUUAAUUACGGAGAAUUAUGUGGGCAGUAAAAUUUUGCCUGAGUUUGCUAAUUCUGUAAGCAGCUCCCAUAUAGUAAAUGGGAAUGGUAUUGUUUUGGAAGAAGAUAGUUUCUUAGCUAAGAAGUCAAAUGCAAGCACAUGGAGAAGAAAGAAGAGCCAAAAGAAUAGCAUAAAGAGGACGGCUAUUAGUACUAAAUCACAGAUCCCUGAGAAGGACAAUUCAUUAGCAUUGGGAUGGUUAGACUCUCUUAGAGCAGCCACUUACAGUUUGUUUGUUGCUUUUAGGCAACCAAUCAUUUUGAGGUAACUACUAACAGAUCUUAAGUUGCUCAUUUAUUGUUCUCAAACAUUUGAAGGUCACAAGUUAAUUUGCCCUCUUUAAAGGUUUAACCAUUUUUGGGCUUUAAUUAAGAUUAUGGUUGUGUUGGCAUCAUUAUGCCAAUAAUGAUGGUUAUUGGACCAGAUAGUCUGCAUUGUUGAAUAGGUGGUCAAAUUAUUAGGUCAGCUUUAUGCAUAUGAUAUAAGGUAUAAAUGUAGUUUAAAUGUGCCUAUCCGGAGUGUCAUCCUGUUGUUAUAAGGGUUCUUUUCCCCUCUUUCUUUUUUGGCAUACUUUACUGCCACAUAUUGGUUAAUUCUUCUGAUCAUGUUUGCUUUUGUUUUUACUUUGGUCUUGGGAAGACCAGACCAAUGACUUGGUUUUUCCUAGCACAUGUCACAGUUCCAAACCUCUCAACAGUCAUGUUCUAUUACCAGACUGAGUCCUUGAAAUUGGACGCAUCCUUUCUGGGGACUGCACGUGUUGUUGGAUGGUUGGGCCUUAUGCUUGGGACCUUCACUUACAAUCGCUAUCUGAAGACCAUGAAGCUGCGGAAGAUUCUCUUGUCAGCUCAUAUUGGGUUGUCUUUUAUGAGCCUCCUAGAUAUGAUCUUGGUAUCUCGAAUCAGUCUUGCCUAUGGAAUUUCAGAUAAGAUCACGGUGCUUUGUGGAUCUGCCCUUGCUGAUGCAAUCAAUCAACUCAAGUAUGUGCAUAUUUUGCUAAGUUCCUAUUUUCUUCUGUUAAUACUUUUUGUGCAAAUUUGAAUAUUUUGUACCAAAGAAUCAUGAGAAAGAACUUAUGCAUGCGUACGCAUAUCCCAAAUCCACAUUAGUAUCAAUUGACAAAAAAUGACUAAUUUCCAUCAUGUUGUUGCUCUUUUGGCAUUUACCUGCAGGUUCAUGCCAUUCCUCAUUUUGUCCGGACAGUUAUGCCCUCCAGGAAUUGAAGGAACUUUAUUUGCCCUCUUUAUGUCAAUAAACAACUUGGGUUCAACGCUGGGAUCAUUCACAGGUGCUGCACUGGCUUCAUUUUUGAAUCUAUCAUCAGGCUUAUUUGAUAACCUACUACUGGGCAUUGCCAUCCAAGUCUUCUGCACUUACAUUCCAGUUGCCCUUUUAUUUUUGAUACCAAAAGAAGCUACAGGGCUAUCAGCAUAGUUGGGGAUUCAUUCAUUCUCAAAACAGAAUGCUAUUAUCUAGAAGCAGAAAAAUGAAUACAAUUUUUUUUCACUGAUUUUCUUUUUUACUGCCGACUAGCUGCUGAAAUUCACAGAUGUAGAAUUGUAGAUUCUGAAAUGAAAAAAUAUAGCUACUUAGGUUUACACUUCUCAGUGUAGGUUGUUGGCUGCAACAUAUGCAAUGUUUAAGACCUUGUCUACAAUUUGCUCAUUGAUUCUAUUUGAAAUGCAAAAUCUUUUACAGUUGGAUCAAAA
rnacentral:misc_RNA from 1 species